GUGGAGCAUGUGGUUUAAUUCGAUGCAACGCGAAGAACCUUACCAUCCCUUGACAUCCUACUAAGAGACUAGAGAUAGACUUGUGCCUUCGGGAAAGUAGUGACAGGUGCUGCAUGGCUGUCGUCAGCUCGUGUUGUGAAAUGUUGGGUUAAGUCCCGCAGCGAGCGCAACCCCUAUCCUUAUUUGCCAGCGCGUUAUGGCGGGAACUCUAAGGAGACUGCCGGUGAUAAACCGGAGGAAGGUGGGGACGACGUCAAGUCAUCAUGGCCCUUACGGGAUGGGCUACACACGUGCUACAAUGGCAGGUACAGAGGGCAGCAAUACCGCGAGGUUGAGCGAAUCCCACAAAGCUUGUCGUAGUCCGGAUUGGAGUCUGCAACUCGACUCCAUGAAGUCGGAAUCGCUAGUAAUCGUAGAUCAGAAUGCUACGGUGAAUACGUUCCCGGGCCUUGUACACACCGCCCGUCACA
rnacentral:rRNA from 1 species